GACGUAGGGCGCGAGCGUUGUCCGGAUUUAUUGGGCGUAAAGAGCUCGUAGGCGGCUUGUCGCGUCGACUGUGAAAACCCACGGCUUAACUGUGGGCUUGCAGUCGAUACGGGCAGGCUAGAGUUCGGUAGGGGAGACUGGAAUUCCUGGUGUAGCGGUGAAAUGCGCAGAUAUCAGGAGGAACACCGGUGGCGAAGGCGGCUCUCUGGGACGGUACUGACGCUGAGACGCGAAAGCGUGGGGAGCGAACAGG
rnacentral:rRNA from 1 species